rnacentral:lncRNA from 1 species
CCGUGGUGGGCAGUGCAAGCUACCAUGACACGCAUUUGGCCCUUGGAAUUGAAUUGCGUGAGAAAGGCAUUGUUCAUGCAUCCACAUGACAGCUCAGAAAGGUGGAACUUAGUCUAGCUCGAAACAUGGAUUUGGUACAAUAUUCAUAUUAUCAUGAGAACAGAACUCCAUAAAUUGAAAAUUUUGUAGCCAAAAAAGAAUCCUUUCCAUCAAAAAUCCCC